GGGCCCGCACAAGCGGAGGAACAUGUGGUUUAAUUCGAUGAUACGCGAGGAACCUUACCCGGGCUCGAACGGCUUUUGAAUAAUGUGGAAACAUGUUAGCCAGCAAUGGCAGAAGUCGAGGUGCUGCAUGGUUGUCGUCAGCUCGUGCCGUGAGGUGUCGGCUUAAGUGCCAUAACGAGCGCAACCCUUAUCAUUAGUUACUAGCAGGUCAAGCUGAGGACUCUAGUGAGACUGCCACCGUAAGGUGCGAGGAAGGUGGGGAUGACGUCAAAUCAGCACGGCCCUUACGUCCGGGGCUACACACGUGUUACAAUGGGGGGGACAGAAGGCCGCUACUUGGCAACAAGAUGCAAAUCCCUAAACCCUCUCCCAGUUCGGACUGGAGUCUGCAACCCGACUCCACGAAGCUGGAUUCGCUAGUAAUCGCGCAUCAGCCAUGGCG
rnacentral:rRNA from 1 species